UACGUAGGGUGCGAGCGUUGUCCGGAAUUAUUGGGCGUAAAGAGCUUGUAGGCGGUUUGUCGCGUCUGCUGUGAAAAUCCGGGGCUCACCCCGGAUUCGCAGUGGGUACGGGCAGACUGGAGUGUGGUAGGGGAGACUGGAAUUCCUGGUGUAGCGGUGGAAUGCGCAGAGUAUCAGGAGGAACACCGAUGGCGAAGGCAGGUCUCUGGGCCACUACUGACGCUGAGAAGCGAAAGCAUGGGGAGCGAACAGG
rnacentral:rRNA from 1 species